GAUUAAAUGGCUGAAAAAAAGCAAUAGACUGUAAAUCUAUGAAUAAGAAUAAUCUUUUUAAUCA
rnacentral:tRNA from 1 species